rnacentral:rRNA from 1 species
CCGGCACGGGUGAGUAACACGUAUGCAAUCCGCCUGUAACAGGGGGAUAACCCGGAGAAAUCCGGACUAAUACCCCAUAAUAUGGGCGCUCCGCAUGGAGAGCCCAUUAAAGAGAGCAAUUUUGGUUACAGACGAGCAUGCGCUCCAUUAGCCAGUUGGCGGGGUAACGGCCCACCAAAGCGACGAUGGAUAGGGGUUCUGAGAGGAAGGUCCCCCACAUUGGAACUGAGACACGGUCCAA